UGAGGUUUCAAUACAGGUAUCAGUGCUGUAGGCACAAAGCAACAGCAGUGAGGUUUCAAUACAGGUAUCAGUGCUGUAGGCACAAAGCAACAGCAGUGAGGUUUCAAUACAGGUAUCAGUGCUGUAGGCACAAAGCAACAGCAGUGAGGUUUCAAUACAGGUAUCAGUGCUGUAGGCACAAAGCAACAGCAGUGAGGUUUCAAUACAGGUAUCAGUGCUGUAGGCACAAAGCAACAGCAGUGAGGUUUCAAUACAGGUAUCAGUGCUGUAGGCACAAAGCAACAGCAGUGAGGUUUCAAUACAGGUAUCAGUGCUGUAGGCACAAAGCAACAGCAGUGAGGUUUCAAUACAGGUAUCA